GACGGAAGUGACUGGAUGUGGAGAGGAGUGUAUCCGCGAAGGAACGCACAAGUGGCCUGACCUGCAGAAGAACGCUAGCUAGGCACUAGGCAUGCCGGCAAGGUCAGCUGAGAGCUGACCCCAGUGCAACGUGGAGGAGUUUGGUUGGGGCAGUCGGAGGAGCACCUGGGCCGCCAAGCGGCCAGACUUCGGGGGAAAGCCAUCUCUCUUCUGGCGCCUUUAUCGGCAGAGAGCUACUUGUACUCAAAACCUUGCACUCAUUCUCCAAGCCCACGUGGGUAAGAUUCACCCACACUGCGGAGGGCGUCGGAGCUCCACAGCCUGCCUGUCUGUAUGCUCCCAUAGAGGUUUGAGCAGCGGGGCACUGGAGAAGCAAGUCACACCCCCAUUGCACGCCAUGGGAGUAGGACAAGAAUUGGAUAAUUGGAAUCAUGCAGAAUGUAGCCUUUUUGGAGUGGCUUCUUUCACCUACCAAUAUGCAGCAUCAAGGAUGGAGAUGCGCUAAGACUGAUGAUGUACACAGUACAAAUAGUGCAAAUAAGGAUGAGAAUACAAGCCCUGGUGAUUAAAAAAGGAUUCAACAGAGUUGGAUUGCUGAGAAUAAAAUUACGGAUUUCUCCAUAAUGGACACACGCACUUUUUGUUUGUGCUGUUUCCUUUAGAAUGGACGAUGAGUCAAAAUUGUUCGUUUAUGCUUCUUCACAGAAGGAUCUUCUGUGUCGUAGGAGGUGGCCUGCAGCAAUCUGGACAUUCAGUGGUCCUCCUGUGAUUAAUAGGUGAACGGAUGAGCUAUUCUGAUAAGAACUGGGGAACUUUUGCCAUUCAAAAGCAAAUAGAAGAACUGGGAGAUUCCUCAACUUAGCUUUUCUUUUUUUUGGUUCUAAAGUGACUGCGAAUGGAGGUAGAAGAGAAGAAAAGCUUUCAAAAACAUCUUCCAUUAAGAAAAAUAUGUAUCUUCAUGAAGACCUAUCUGAGUAAAAUUACUAAAACAUAAUGGCUUUCUUGAAAUAGAAUGGAAUGAAAGGCAUAUUAGGGAGUAUGAAAGUAUGAAGAUUUUAUUAACAUACUUCUAGAAGUUUAUUAAAUAUCUGCACAGGAACUGUAAUUUGAGAUCAGUGGUGGAAAGAGAAUAAAGGAAUCACGUG
rnacentral:lncRNA from 1 species